rnacentral:rRNA from 1 species
UACAGAGGUCUCAAGCGUUGUUCGGAUUCAUUGGGCGUAAAGGGUGCGUAGGCGGCGCGGUAAGUCGGGUGUGAAAUCUUGGAGCUUAACUCCGAAACUGCAUUCGAUACUGCCGUGCUUGAGGACUGGAGAGGAGACUGGAAUUUACAGUGUAGCGGUGAAAUGCGUAGAUAUGGGGAGGAACACCGGUGGCGAAGGCGGCCAUCUGGACGGAUACUGACGCUGAGACGCGAAAGCGUGGGGAGCAAACAGG